UACGUUCCCGGGCCUUGUACACACCGCCCGUCAAGCCAUGGAAGCUGGGGGUGCCUGAAGUCGGUGACCGCAAGGAGCUGCCUAGGGUAAAACGUGGUAACUAGGGCU
rnacentral:rRNA from 1 species